GUUGCUUUUAGCAGACACCCUUGUCCAGAGCAACUUACAAUCCGUAUGGUGAAGUGGACUCGUAACCAAAACCCCGAAACGCCAAGGUGUUACCGAGAGGCAGUCUCCACCAUUUUUGAAUCACAGUGCAUACUAAAGAGUGCAUUAGGUUUCACAUGCUCUAUGGCUCAUCUUAGUCGCUACUGACAUUCAUCAAACAAGACCACUUCUAUCCAUCUGAAGCAUUUUUGCCUUGAGCCUGAGAGGGGGCAAAAUCAGGACAACAUUUGGAAUGAGCAAACUGAGUGAUGUUCACUGAAAUGCACGGAGCAGCUGGGAGCUACCCUGAAGGUCUAGUACAGUGAAACACUUGACUGGCUGGAAGCAAUAUUAAA
ensembl:lncRNA